UACGUAGGGUGCGAGCGUUAAUCGGAAUUACUGGGCGUAAAGCGUGCGCAGGCGGUUCGUUAAGACAGAUGUGAAAUCCCCGGGCUUAACCUGGGAACCGCAUUUGUGACUGGCGAGCUAGAGUAUGGCAGAGGGGGGUAGAAUUCCACGUGUAGCAGUGAAAUGCGUAGAGAUGUGGAGGAAUACCGAUGGCGAAGGCAGCCCCCUGGGCCAAUACUGACGCUCAUGCACGAAAGCGUGGGGAGCAAACAGG
rnacentral:rRNA from 1 species